rnacentral:rRNA from 1 species
GUCUACGGCCAUGCCACCCUGAACAAGCCCGAUCCCGUCUGAUCUUGGAAGUAAGCAGGGUCGGGCCUGGUUAGUACUUGGAUGGGAGACCACCUAGGAAGACCAGGUGCUGUAGGCG